GCUUUGUCAGUUUUCGGUUAAAUCCAUACGCUCAACGUAUGGGCUGCCGGAAAUACUGCAAAGCUAGGGAGUGGGAGAGGUAGACGGUACUCGGGAGGAAGGGGUAAAAUCCUUUGAUCUCUCGAUGACCACCUGUGGCGAAGGCGGUCUACCAGAACACGUCCGACGGUGAGGGAUGAAAGCUGGGGGAGCAAACCGGAUUAGAUACCCGGGUAGUCCCAGCUGUAAACUAUGCAAACUCAGUGAUGCAUUGGCUUGAUGCCAAUGCAGUGUUGCAGGGAAGCCGUUAAGUUUGCCGCCUGGGAAGUACGUACGCAAGUAUGAAACUUAAAGGAAUUGGCGGGGGAGCACCACAAGGGGUGAAGCCUGCGGUUCAAUUGGAGUCAACGCCAGAAAUCUUACCCGGAGAGACAGCAGAAUGAAGGUCAAGCUGAAGACUUUACCAGACAAGCUGAGAGGUGGUGCAUGGCCGUCGCCAGCUCGUGCCGUGAGAUGUCCUGUUAAGUCAGGUAACGAGCGAGAUCCUUGCCUCUAGUUGCCACCAUUACUCUCAGGAGUAGUGGGGCGAAUUAGCGGGACCGCCGUAGUUAAUACGGAGGAAGGAAGGGGCCACGGCAGGUCAGUAUGCCCCGAAACUCUGGGGCCACACGCGGGCUGCAAUGGUAACGACAAUGUGUUCCAAAUCCGAAAGGAGGAGGUAAUCCUCAAACGUUACCACAGUUAUGACUGAGGGCUGCAACUCGCCCUCACGAAUAUGGAAUCCCUAGUAACUGCGUGUCAUUAUCGCGCGGUGAAUACGUCCCUGCUCCUUGCACACACCGCCCGU
rnacentral:rRNA from 1 species